rnacentral:ncRNA from 1 species
AGCGAAGAUGUUUAGAAUCUGUAGGAUUAUGCCGGAAAGCCAGAAAUGCCCAGCCAUGGACGGCUGGGCAAGGCGUUAUGCGCCACGGACGGCGCAUAAAAGCCGGUUUCGUCAAGCAUAGAAAACCAUCAUGCAUAAUCCGUACAGAAUCUUAACAGCGUAGC